CGGAGAAUCAGUAAAUUAAAAAAGCAAUGAUUUAAAGAGUCGCUCUCUGGUUUGAUUUCAUUCUUGACAGGUGCAAAAAAUACUGCUGGUCUUAAUUUGAAUAAUGUUUUUCCAAGGUCUUGAGGUCCUCAUAUAGAAGCUUAUCUCACCAUUCUGAUGGCUUCAGCACUAUACAGUGCAUCAUACAGCAUCUAAACUAUGUCCUGUAGCAAGCCAUUGGUUUUCUGCAGAGAAACCAACCAGCACUUACAUAAUUUAUCAGUUUUCAUAAGUUGCUUUAUUGUCUAUUGAUCCGUGAUGCGUUUUUUCAUCAAACAAAUGGAACAUUGUGCCAAUUUCUGCUAAGCCUUCACUUCCACUGCAGUUAUUAGUUUCAUGAAUUUCCUCGAAACACAAUAUCCAGAGCAUGUCCUUUUAAUUUAGAGAGGCUUAAUUCCUAAUCUGAUUCAUUUUAUUCUGUCUUGACGGUUUUUUUUUUUUUUCCUUUUUUUGCUUCUUUGCAAAAAAGAUGAUUUUGCAGCGCCGCUGUGGACUCGCAGCCUUUGCUGUGUAAAUCAGCAGGUGCCCCUCGGUGCCGCUGAUGUGACUUGACUGAUUUGACCCUUCUGUUCGGUAUCAAUCACUGCGCAUUAGCUGUCACCACCUGCGCGACGCAGAAAAAGUUCGCAGGGCGCACCUGUUCCCGGAUCAAUGAGACGUUUCCUCCGUGAAGAGGGAAAAAAAACGCAGCUCGCUCCAUUAAAAGCCAUCGAUUACACAUCCCAGCAACUUCAGCUUUUAGAGAAAUAAGCCAGAAGGGGACGGAGGACGGAGGCGAAUGAGCACGUGAUGGGAAUCGGGCAGCAUCAAAACACCGACUGUGAGCGCCCGCCGCAGAAAAGCCGUGUCCCCAGAAUACUAAUGACGGGAUAAGCGACGGGACAAUAAACGCACAGAAUAUCCAAGUGGAGCAUACAUUAACUUGGGCGCGUUGUGGAAAUGAAGAGCGCGACACAUGGCCGCAACAGCCGCCGCUGCGCCGCGACGAUCCACUGGAAUUACUCACCAAAAGAAGAGGGGACAACUUCACGGACGGCGCCUGGCGCUAAAAGUUGCGCUUUUUUCUCCCUCCACGCUGCGCACGGAGAGGGGGGGAGAAAAAGCGUACGUCGAAAUGAAGAGUUCAAAAGUGUUGAUGGUGAAAUUAGUCCUGGUGGCGGAGCUCGGCUGCCGGAGUGCUGCUUCUGCUUCUGUGCAGGGAUCCCCAGCUGCGGGGUUUCGUGCGUGUUAUCUAUCUGUCGCUUACACGGGCAACUGGGGACGCGCGGCAGCGGCGCGGGGAGACGAGGAAACGGAGACGCUCCGCUCUCAUCUGAGCCAAACGCUCCGCCGACCGCAGUUGAGAGAGAGAGGGAGAGAGAGAGAAACAGAGAGAGAAACAGAGAGAGAGCCUAUCGAAAUAGUUUGACCAAAAUAAGUUGGCGGGGAGGGAGCCAGAAACACACGCAGCGCUUCUGGCAGCGACGACGAAAAACCAAAAUUUCCAAACGUGCCAAGACUUUGGCAGCAGAUGGCUGCGCGUUCCGUGAAAUGGUUUCCUCGCUGCUGAUUAGAAUCCCAGGAAAAAAUGACUAUUUGUUGCAUUAAAAUUGCAUCUUGUCUAAAAAUCCCAUUCAAUAAUUUACCGGGCGUCUUUUUUUUCCUUAAUGUUGCCGUCUUCACACGAUUCACACUUUCCAGAUAUUUGGGCUCGUUCUGUUGCGAGUUGAGUUUUUCAUCCAAUUAGCCGCACACUGAGCGCGUGUGCGGUGACAGAGGAAUGCAGCGUGAGGCUGGCCUCUCUAAACCACCGCACCUCCACUCUGUGCUCGCAGACCCUCCAAACCCGCCGCUAUUACUUACACUCCUAAUUAGUGACAGUAAACAUACAGUGUGCAGCAGCCUCUGCAGUUAAUAAGCACAUGCAUCUGCACAGGGAACAGCGCUGUUCUCCUCAAAGCCUUGUCAAAGUCAACAGUUUCACUUUUUUUCCUGCAGGUGGUUUACAUUUAUACAUUUGUUUCAAAGUGCACGGCUGAUUUCACAUUUCCAAUUUCGGUUUGAACACAUUCCUGGGCAUUAGUCACAAAUGGAUUAUCCUCUUUGUGUUUUUCAACAGAUAUU
rnacentral:lncRNA from 1 species